CUCCAACCGGUCAAAGAAAAAAACCACCGCACCCACUUCCCACGACUCCCUCCCCUACCCUCUCCCGAACCCAUCUACCCACUCCUCACGGCAUCGCGCCGCCGCCGCCGAUCUUCUCCCGAUCCACCGCCGCUGCCUACCCCGUCUCCUUCCAGCUCGCCGGCGCCCCCGCCUCCUUCUGGCCCGCCAGCGCGCACUGUCGUCCCCGCCUCCUUCCAGCGCGAGGCCGACCCACCCUACCUCUAAGCAGGCCGACCCGACCAGCCGCUCCACCAUUCGCCGGAGACGGCACCCCAAUCGACCCGCCGUCCCACCGUCGGCCGGCACGACGCCUCGAUCCAGUCCGCACUUCCAGCCCACUACGUCCCCACGCUGCCCUGGUCUCCCCCACCGUCGCAAGUAGCUACAGCACCGGCCAUCUCCUGUCGCGGAUCGGGCAGCCCCCCACCGCCACCCACAACCCGAUGCAUCGCCGCCCCGGCGGAUCCACGCCGCUCCUCUGUCUCCUGGCCGAUGCCCCUGGCUCAUCCUGCUGCUCACCUCCUCACUCACAUAUGCAUCAACAAAGGCAGGUGGGUCGCUGCAGUCCACUUCGUGGCACAACAGCAGGGCGACUCUUCCAGGACGCAUCUCACUUUUAACCGGCCCCAAAUUCGCGCGCAUGGAGGUGGUGAUGCUCCAGUGAGCUCCUCCGUCCCCAGCCCGUCCCCUGAUGCGGCCGCUGCACCACAGGUACACGCUUCCACCCGGCCCUCUCCUCGCGCCUGCGCCCUUUGGUAGCCAUGGAUCUCAAAUGGAUGCAUGCAGCAGCCGACAUCCACGCGUCGCCCUGGCCAAAGCUCGCUGUGUCGGCUUCUGCGCGCUGCCCCAACCACCAGUUGAAGCUCUGCCUUGGACAACGCACAUCGCGCAUCGCCCCAGUCUCCUGUCGGCUGCUGAUGCACGUCGCUGCUGGUCUUCAUGAUGCGUCCCUGAACUUGCUCCGGCUUCAAGACCUCCACAGCGCUGCCGAAGCUCUGCCUUGGACGUAUUUUGGUGAGGGAUAUAGAGAUUCACGUAAGUUAUGCUGAAGUUCAAAUUCAGAAAAACAGGCGGUUCAAUGUUUAAAUUAUCUCCUUCGUUUCUGAAUAAUAAGUUGCAUGCUCUGGUGGAAUGGAUUAGCGACGAAGAGUUUUACAAUUUUCAUGUUCAGCUCGAUGCUA